GACAGAGGCCACAAGCGUUAGGCGGAAUCACUGGGCUUAAAGCGUGUGUAGGCGGAUCGUUAAGUGCCUUGUGAAAUCCCACAGCUUAACUGUGGAACUGCUUGGCAUACUGGCGGUCUUGAGCCAUCUAGGGGUUGCUGGAACAAACGGUGGAGCGGUGAAAUGCGUAGAUAUCGUUUGGAACGCCAGUGGUGAAAACAGGCAACUGGGGAUGUGCUGACGCUGAGACACGAAAGCCAGGGGAGCAAACGGG
rnacentral:rRNA from 1 species